GAUGAACGCUGGCGGCGUGCCUAAUACAUGCAAGUCGAGCGAACAGACGAGGAGCUUGCUCCUCUGACGUUAGCGGCGGACGGGUGAGUAACACGUGGAUAACCUACCUAUAAGACUGGGAUAACUUCGGGAAACCGGAGCUAAUACCGGAUAAUAUAUUGAACCGCAUGGUUCAAUAGUGAAAGACGGUUUUGCUGUCACUUAUAGAUGGAUCCGCGCCGCAUUAGCUAGUUGGUAAGGUAACGGCUUACCAAGGCAACGAUGCGUAGCCGACCUGAGAGGGUAAGCGACCACACUGGAGAUGAGAAGCGGUACAGAGUGCGACGGGAGGCAGAAGGAGGGAAGCGUCCGAAAUGGGCGAAAGCUUGACGGAUCAAUGCAGCGUGAGUGAUGAAGGUCUUCGGAUCGUAAAACUCUGUUAGUAGGGAAGAACAAAUGUGUAAGUGACUAUGCACGUCUGGACGGUACCUAAGCAGAAAGGCACGGCUAACUACGUG
rnacentral:rRNA from 1 species